ACUAAACAUUGGGUUUAAUAAAGUCAGUAUUUCUCAAAGUGGAACAGUGAAUUUUUUUUUCAAUUUUUUACAAAUCGUCAUUUUGGGAAAAUUUCUCAGAUCAAAGUAACAGUUAAGAUAGAAUUGUGCUCAACCAAGCCAUUUAUCUGCACUACAGAAUAGUACUUGAAAGCAAUCCUAGUCAGAUUAAAACCAUUUUGAGAGACAAGACUUGUGUUUACAGCUACCUCAAAAGAGGUAGUUUUCCUUCCACAGUCAAAGCUCAGUUAAGAUUGACUAAUCUUUUUUUCCCUUGUCAUAUCUUCAGUUCAAAACAUAUCAUCACUGGUAAUACGGUCUGUAUCUUGUUUGAUCUGGAUGAUGCGGUCCAGGUAGUGGGGUUUGAGAAGGUGGGCCCUGCAUUCGUGGAGGAGGAGGUGGCCCUCUUGGUGCAGGCCAUAUACCAGGACUCAUUCCUCCUGGUUGUGUAAAUGGAGGGCUCAGAGUUCCUUGGUCUUCAGUAAACUGGGGUAAAGAGUUAGGAUUGUAAUGGUGAGGAGGGGGUGCAGUUACAGGUGGACCACCAUGCUGAGGUGGCAUCUGGGCAAUAAUAUGUCCAGGGGGAGGGGUUAUUGGGGGUGGAGCAGAGGUCAUUGGUGGAGGUGGUGGUUCUCUAGCACCUGAACUGGAGUCAUCCUGAAUAGGGACCGUUAUUAAAUUGCUGU
rnacentral:lncRNA from 1 species